rnacentral:lncRNA from 1 species
UCCAGACAUACAUGUGACUUGCUCUCUCAUGAAAGCUCUAUAAGGGCAGGGAUUUUUGUCCAUUUUCUUUCAUUGUUGACUCCCCAAAGCCUAGACCAAUGCCCGGCACACAGUAGGUGCUCAAUAAAGUAUUUGUGGAUUGAUCUCCAGGUAAAUCAUGCAAGAAAAAAAAUGUGUGGAUUGAAUGUGUGUGUGCAUGUAUGCAUGCAUUCCUGUGACCUUCUCGUGUGUUCACGGGUGUGUGGGUACAGCCGCUUGCUGGGUGUGUCUGCUUGGCCAGGGAUGUGUAUGUGGGGUUCUGUCUGGGACAACUGGACAGGGAGUGGACAGGAAGGGGUCAGCUCUGGGCAGCCCCUCCACCUGCCCAAGGCCAGGCCCCCUCUGUGGCCCAGAUCUUCCUGUGGCUUGGGGAAGCUGCAAGUGAGUGGAAGGAGGCGGUGGCCUGGGGCCAGGAGUACCUGAAGACCCACCCAGCAGGGAGGAGCCCGGCCACACCCAUCGUGCUGGUCAAGCAGGGCCAUGAGCCUCCCACCUUCAUUGGAUGGUUCUUCACUUGGGACCCUUACAAGUGGACUGUGAGUGAGGCCUGAAACCCCCAGCCCCACCCUAAUUUGUGGGGAGAGGAACCUGACCUGGCUGGGGAUUGCCAGUGUGUGCGAGAGACCUGGUCUUGUCCUCAGGCCCCUCCUGUGUCCCAUUGGUGCCCCUUCUCCUGCCCUGGCCCUGAUACUUGCCCCGAUUCUUGCUCCAGAGCCACCCGUCCCACAAGGAAGUGGUGGAUGGCAGCCCGGCAGCAGCAUCAACCAUCUCUGAGAUAACAGCAGUGAAGUCAACAACUUCCGGCUAUCCAGAUGGCCGGGCAAUGGCAGGGCAGGUGCCAUGGCCCUGCAGGCCCUCAAGGGCUCCCAGGACAGCUCAGAGAAUGAUCUGGUGCGAAGCCCCAAGUCGGGUGGCAGCAGAACCAGC